CCCACCAAAUAAAUAAACAAAACAAUAAAAGACAACACCUACCAACUAAGAAAUAUCAAAAAACAAAAUUAGGAAAGUGGAAGUUGAAGAGUACUUGCAGGUGCAGCGCCUCUUCCUCGAUACAUCAUCAAAUCGGAGCUGAAACUCGACUUCAAUUCGGCGUAAUUGUAUACCCUUGAAAACCUUUGUUUUCUCCUCGUAGAUUUCAUGUGGAUCCAAGCUCGUGUAGGUUCUGUGGUAAGAGUAUUGUUGCUAAUCCAUCCAUUUAACCUCAGGUUGUGUAUGGAUUUCUGGGAUUUGCACUAUUGUACAGGUUGUGCAAAGUAUUCUGGACUUGAGCAACUUGUCAGGAUAGUUCUGAAUUUUUGGAGGCAACAAUGUAUUUACUAAGAAGACUUUGAUAUUAGCGACAAAUAUAUUGAUUCGAGGGCUGUGCCGUACACCGUGACAGAAGCAUGGACAUAUAUGUCCCUCAUGAAUUUUGAACUGAGAGACAACGGGUGUGUAUCACUAGGUCAGACAUGCAUCACUAUACUUGACAUUGCAUAUCUAUAACCUUUGUGAACUUGUGAGUGCAUUUAUAUGGAACUUGUGAUUGAUGGACUUGAUAUAUCCUGUGUACCAUUAAUAUGUGGUUGAUGGAGUACUGUUGUUAUUGUGUCAUGUGCUAUUUAAAUUGUGAACUGUUAGGUUGAACUAAUUUUAUGCAGAUUUUAGUUGCGCAGGUUCAGUUGGAUUGGUAGGAGUACUCAUAUCCUAUAUAGACAACAACAAAUUCGAUUAUCAGGGACAAAUAAUUUCGUCACUAAAAUUCUUGUGAGACGAAAAAUAAUUCGUCAAUUAGUCGUCACUAAAUGUGUGUCGCUAAAAGUAUACUAAAACGAUUUAGUGCUUCGUCGCUAAAAGUAUUAU